rnacentral:lncRNA from 1 species
AAUAUAUGUCAUUUUUGAAUCAAAAUAGGACUUAACCAAUUGUGAGGAAGCUUUACAUUGUACACUAAAAUGCGAGAAACGGAACAUUAUUUAACCUCAUUCUUAUCAUGCUAAAUCAUGCAUCAAUCUAUUUUUGUGUGAAAAUUUUGAAAAUGAUAGAGGCAUUGUUUGUUGAGAAAAACCACUUGACCAAAAAGUUUUGAAUCAACUAACCUUGUGAG